UUCUGGUUAGAUGCUAACUGCAUUUCAUCGGCUCUGUACAUGUACAUGAAUCGAAUCUAAUCUAACCUCUGUUAUGUAACUUUAUGUUGUGUGAUGUAGCUCUUUGUUGUUUCAUGUACCACCAGGGUUUUGGAGGAACGUUGUCUCAUUUCACUGUGUACUGCGUCAGCUAUAUAUGUUAGAAAUGACCAUAAAAGCUUCUUGACUCUUGACUUUUUUUUUACCAGCAAAUGUGCUAAACAUUUCACCCAGGCGCCUCCUCAGGGGCUUUGCAGACAAGACGUUGUUGUCUCUUUUAUCACACAAAAAGACACUGUUACCCAGGCAGAGAAGUGAGAAAGUGGAAGAUGACUAACACAGCACUUAAAAUGAAGAUUUUUAACUUCUGCCUGAUUAUAGGUGCUGCUCUGACGCUGCGGCACAAUUCAAUGAAGCAAGUUGUGUGUAUGAGAAUUUACUUCUACGCCAAGCGAGGAAAAAAGCCCAUGUACCUAAAACUGCCUGCAAGAGUCCCGAUCCAGCAAUUGACCAAUCAGACUCAAUCUACCAGAAUCCUUCCUUUAUUAAUAAGCAAUCAGACUCAAUCUACCAGAAUCCUUUCUUUAUUAAUAAGCAAUAAGAUUCAGGACAUCACUCUUCAUCAUUCAGGUUCAAUGAUCUUAUUUCAAAGCUAACUGUCACAUUGUGUUUUCUUUAGAAGUAUAUGAAAAGACAUUCCAGAUAUUGGACUGUGGAUUACUCAACUGCAGUUUACUUGUUUUAUUUCUGUUUUUAAAUAACAUUUUAUCUCCUGAUAAGUUUACCAACAACUGAUGCCAAGACUGCA